UUCAGCCUCAAAUAGCCAAGGACUAACUUUGAACUCUUUGCAGGUACCCAGAGCCUAGACUCUGACACAACUAGAUCACCGUCUGUUCCGCCAAUCAGAGUGCUUUGCAUAUAUCAAACUGUCUGCUCCGCUAAUUGGAGCACAUUGUACAUAUCAAACCGUCUGCUUUGUACAGAUCACAUUGUCCCCUCUGCCAAUUAGAUCACCUUGCAUUUUACAUUUUUACUUGGUUCAAAUUCAAAUACUCCCAUCGCAUGGAGAUUCAAAUUCAAAGCAAAAAAUUUCAAUCAUGCGGAGAUUCAAAUUCGAAGUCGAAUGUUCCCAUAGCGAGGAAAUUCAAAGUCGUUGCGUGGACAUUUGAACGCUCCGACAAGUCGCCCACUUCUUAAAUGGCUAUGAACUAUCUCUAUGUGGUUUGCUGCCUCGAAGAAGUUGAGCUUGCUGAGUUUAUUGAAACUCAGGACCAGGUUCAGAAAACCAGGCUGCUUCUUGGUCAUCUGCUGAAAUCUGCUGCUGCUUAAAGUCUAUCUGGGCAUGGCUGCUUUGGUCAGCCCAAUAGAAGAGUCUAACUUUCUCCCCUUUACCUAAAUAAUUAUUGUUGUUAUGGUUUGCUCUUCUGUACAUAUAUCCUUGAGACAACUAACACUAGUAAUGGAUAUUCUUAGGUAUCUUGAAUGUUUAGGCAGAUUUUAGGUAAAUCAAAAUCUAAUAGACAAAAAGGUAAUUGUAACUUCAAA